UUAGAACGCAGAGCCCAGGCAUGACAAUGGACUGUGCAGUUGAUUGGGUACUGAGGUCUAAGACCCACAAAACUCUGCUAUUCCAUUAAAACAAAGAAUUAGAAAAAUUAUGAAAAACAGCCUGAAGCUGCUUUCUUUGUUCUUAACCAACUGCGCUUCUGUUGAGAAUUUCAAAUGGAAUUUUUUCCUAUGUCAGGGUUUUCACAGCUUGCCUUCCAUGACUUGUUUAUGCCUUCAAAAUCAGUUACAGCUGGGGAUACCCAUACAACACCAACUCAGCUGCCAGCGGGGCUCGCAGUCUUGGCUCCCUCUAAACUACAGCUUCUGGAUGCUGACCCUGGGAAAGUAGUCCCAGAAGAUUUCACAUCUAUGAUGCCAUUCUCUUCUCACCUAGUCCUGAUUCUUCACCCCAAGAUGACCAGCAUAAUUUGUUUCUUUUACAGCUUGUUUAUCUAUCUAUCUAUCUAUCUAUCUAUCUAUCUAUCUAUCUAUCAUCUACUAUCUAUCACUGAUUAUUGGUUUGUUUGAUUUUUCUUUUUCAAGACAAGUUUUCUCUGUGUAACCUUGGCUCUUCUGGAACUCAUUCUGUAGGCCAGGCUGGCCUCGAGCACAGAGAUCUUCCUGCUUCCUUCUCCCAAGUGCUGGGAUUAAAGGUAUCUACCACCAUCCCAGAGUGAGCUUUAUUAUGUAAAUAAAAACAAAAAGUUAUUUUAGAUAAAGCCAAAUGAGAAAAUUUAAGAAAACCAAGGAAAACAGAAGAAUUAAAGAGAAUAAAGGAAACAAAAAUUCUUCUAUAAAUGAAGUUCAGAAAUGAAAAAAAUUGAUGUCUAGAGUUGGCUUUAGAAAUAGUACACACAUUCAAAAUCUGUUUAUUUUGUCAAAACAGAUAACACAAUGAAAGUUAGGGACGUCUAAAUGCAAACCUGCAGGGUAGAAAGAAACUAACCCCAAAAUAGCACAACACAUAAUCCCUAACUUAAAAGGUAGAAAUACUUAAUUACGUUCUUUCCAAGAAAAAAAAAAUAUGUGAAAAUCAGUAAGAAAUUGAGGUAUAUAAACAUCUGAAACAUUUCAAAAAAUAAUAACUCUAAAUAUAUUGAUAUAGAGUUUUAUGCCUGGGCUUUUAAUGGCUUUCAGGAAUUGUAACAAAUUUUAAAGCUUCAUUAAUUGAUCCAAAACAACACAGUCAGACUUUAGCAUAUCACAUUAUUAAAAGUAUAUGUUAAUAAUCUUUAUGAAUAGGAAAACAGGUUCUAAUACUAUAAACAACGUAUCAGAACAUAUUCUUUGCAAUUUUACUACAUAGUUUCAAUGUUUAUAUGUUUUCAUAGUUUCAUAUGCUUAUUAAUACAUAUUUUUAUUUUAUGUUCAUAAAUGUUUAUUUUGUGAUGAAAGACCUAUUUCAUUUUGUGAAAAUGAAAAUAAUAGUAAAUAUAUUUAUUUUAAAAGUAUAUCCAGUAUUGAUAAAGUCAAUAAAAAUAUAACAAACAUCUUUUGAGAUUUAAUAAACUUUGUUUUAAAAGAUUUGAACAAAUGAAAUAAAAUGUAUUUCUGGGUAGAAAGGAACACAUUUGGAAAAUUGAAAUAGUAUCUUGUACAUGACACUAACAUUUUUGCCAAAUAAAAAAUCAAAUUCAAAUCCAGCACCCAAAGGAUGUAAAAUGUACUUGAGAAGUCACGUUUUCUACACGUGUAUAAUUUGCAUAUUGGAAAUUUUAAAAUUGAAACAUUCUUUAUUGAGUAACACUAAGGAGUUACCAUUCAAUAGUGUGUAAAUAAAGAGGUUGAUACAUAAAAUUAAAUAUCUACUUAUUGAAGAUUCUUGUGAUUGUCUUAAUCUUAACCUAAUGUAGACCUUAAACAUUACUUCUAAGGAGAGCAGAGUUUUAAGUAUAAUUUGGCAGAAUUAAUAAAAAUCUUAAAUUUAUGAAUGAGCUUUAUAUAAUACAUUUAUAUCAAAGAAUAAGAACUCAAGCAUGUUUAGAAGAUAUAAUUGUGACUAAAUAUUUAUUUCAAAUUUGCUACCAUAUAUGUACAAUUAAAACAAUUCAAAAGUACGAUUAUAGAAAAACAGAACUAUAAUAGGUUGUGUUACUUUAUAUUUAUUAUNNNNNNNNNNNNNNNNNNNNNNNNNNNNNNNNNNNUUAUUUGUAUAAUAUUAUAUACUAUUAUAUAUUUACUACACAUUAAGUAUAAAAUAAUGUAAAUUUGAGAGAAGAUAUAUAAUAGUUAUGUCACUUAUUACCAAAGGGAAAACAGUCUUGAUUUAUGUUUAACUGGUUUAUUGACAUAUAAUUUCCAUACUGUAAAGCUCAACUACUUUGAGUAUACAAUUCAAUGCUUUUUAUUAUAGUCACUGAGUUGUACAACUGUCAUCAUUCAGCUUAAAUUGGGCGGUAACUUUUAGGUCUUGAGAUAUUUUAUCUUUAGGCAUAUUCUGUUUUAAGUUUCUUUUAUAUGUGGUGUUAGCUACAUCUUAUAUUUGGCUUUAGGGGUUUCCUCCACAUUUAUUGCCAGUGUUUCUUAAGGCACUUUGUUUCCUUCUUUGGCCCACUGAUUACUUAAGUGUUUCUUAAUCUCACAUUUGUGAUAUUUUUUGUUAUAAAUCUCUAACUUAAUGGUGCUACAUUCCCAAAACAUACUGUUUUAUGAAUUCUGUUAUUUUUCAUACAUAGGUGCUGUGGACUUACACAGUAUCUAUUUUUGAUAGUUGAGUAUAUGUGAGUAUCUUUUGCUGUUGGCUUCCACCGUUGUGUUUCUAUAAGUUUUGAUCUUUUACCUAAUUUAUAUAUUUGUUGAAGCAGAGUGGAAACUGAAGUAUUGGAGGCUUGGAUUCUUACAGAAUUGAAUAGUACCCUUCUGUUCAUUCACUCUUGAUUCUCUAUCUUUGGGCUAUGUUGUUUGGUUCAUAUAACAAUAAUUAUUGGUAUCUUCUUGAUAGUUUGAUACGUUAAUGAUUAAAUACAAUUUACUUACUUUUGGUAACCGUGUUUUAUUCUUUUAAAGUUUUGUGAUAUUGAUACAACCACUUAACACUCUUACAGUUGUUCAAAAGAUAUAUAUUCUCACCAUUGACUUAUAUUCGACAAGAUGGUUGUAUGUAUAUGUAUUUGUUUUAAGAGUGUCACUGUAAAUAGUACAAGGUUGGAUAUUGAUUUUCUUCUGCAUUAUUCACUUUGACAUUGUAUUUCUUUUGAUUUCAUAGUUUAAUCCAUUCACAAAUAUUGUAUUAGUGUUCUAUAUGGCUGAAUUUCCUUGAUCUAUUUUGCUAUCUGUUUAUAUCUUGUAUCUGUUUCUAUUCCUUUCUUUCUGUUUCAUUACCUUUUGAAAUAAAGGAAUAAUGCUUUCUUCAAUCAUUUAGUCCAUUUAGGAUAUGUUAACUCCAUACAUUUAUUUUUCAUGUUUGUUUAACUUUCAAUAUAUAUUUAAGUUAGGUUUUUUUUGUCUUAAUUAUAAAAUUUAACAUCAAUGUAAUGUUGAAACUUUAUCACUAUACCAACUUUUUCCAUAUCUUUAUUAUAAACUGUAAAUUUAUGUCUAUUAUAAAUAAAUGAAACAUUAUUACUUUAUGUAGAAUAUUUUACCUUUAAAGAAACAAAGAAAAGACAGUGUACUGGCUAGUUUUUUGUCAACUUGACACAGCUGGAGUUAUCACAGAG
ensembl:lincRNA Gm36669 predicted gene, 36669